UUUAGAUGAGGUGGUUCGUCAAUGAGGACCAGGGACCAGCUGGUCCUACAUUGUCCACGUUAGUAUGUAUUAUGGAACUCAAAUAGUAAUCUGAGUAUUUGGAUCAUUAGGCUGCAGCGGCGGACACAUCGUUGUAUUAACAAUGGAUUCAAUUACUAAUGUGGUUGGAGAGAGUUGUACCAAAACAGAGCUACAAUGAUAAGUUGAUAUGAAGUAGAAUCAGAAACAUAACUUAAAUGUUAAAUUAACAUGUUUUUGUUGUUCUGUUUGUGGAUGUGUAAAUAAGCAAAUGCAAUUAUUAGGCACUUGACAAUGUAUCGAUGUCAAAAGUUUGAAAACAGCUUGUUCCGCUGCCCCCAUGUGGUCGGAAAAACAGCCCAAAUGAACUAACCGAACAUAUGAUGGGGGAGAAAUUGAAGGAUGUCACACCACCAAUGAGCUUCCAGUAAAAGCUUCAGUGAUCUUUGGCACAGAUUGUCUCUCAAACUCCUCUGUUGCAUGUGAAGAUCUCUAUUCGUACAAAGCGAGCCUGCGGGUCCUAUUUAACAGGGAGAAAGAAUGGUCUUGUUCUUCUAGAGAGCUGAAGCUUCUGAGUGGCAAUUGUAAUCCCACCGUAAACACUUACACAUUAAACUGUCAACAACGGCAAAAACGCAAGGGAACAGUCAGUAUAAUGCAAAGUAUUGAAU
ensembl:lncRNA